CCCGAAAUUGUAGGAGUUAUAAAAAUUAAAGUUUUAAUAUUUAAUUAUUAAAUUAAAUCUUUUUAUAGUUCUAAAAUAGAAUUCGGCUAUAAUAAUAUCUGGUUUUACUUUAAAAAUUUAUUUUUAAAAAAUUAAGUUUUUUAACUUUAAAAUUAAAAAUUUAAUUUUAGUUAAUUUUAAAAAGAUAAUUUUUUAAAAUAAUAUAAGUACAAUGUUUAAAAUUAUCUUUUUAAAAUUAAAGGCUUUAAAACAGCUUUAUUUUUGUAAGUUAUAUUUUAUUUUAAAAAUUAAAAAUUUAUUUAUAUAUUUACUUGAAAAAAUAAAAUUUUAUUCAACAACAGCUUAAUAAGUAUAAUUAAAGUAUUAUUAUAAAAAUUUGUUUUAAUAUCUUUUACAAGAAUUAAUUUUUUAAAAUUUAACUUAAAAGUAAUGAAUGUUUAACAAAAACAUUUUUUUAUAAAUAUAAAUAUAAAAUAAUUCCUGCCCACUGAAAUUUUUAAGGGCCGCGGUAUUUUGACCGUGCAAAGGUAGCAUAAUCAUUAGUUUCUUAAUUAGAAAAUUGUAUGAAUGGAUUAACAUUACUUUGUUUUUAAAAUUUUAAAAUUAGAAAUUGGAUCUUAAGUGAAAAUACUUAAAUUUAGUAAAAAGACGAUAAGACCCUAUAGAGUUUAAUUUUUAAUUUUAAUUUUAUUUUUAGUAUAAAAUUUUAUUAGCUUAAAAAUUUAGUUGGGGCAAUUAUAGAAUAAAUUUAAUUUCUUUUCCUUUUUUAACUUAAAUUUUAAGAUAAAGUUACCUUAGGGAUAACAGCGUAAUUAAAAUUUCGAGACCUUAUCAACAUUUUAGUUUGCGACCUCGAUGUUGAAUUAGAAAUUCUUUAAGGAGCAGUAUUUUUAGAAGAAAGUCUGUUCGACUUAUAAAGUUCUACAUGAUUUGAGUUCAAACCGGCGUAAGCCAGGUUGGUUUCUAUCUUUUAUCUUUGAAAAUUGUUUUAGUACGAAAGGACCAUGCAAAAUUUUAUUAAAUUGGCAGAUAAGUGUGUAAAA
rnacentral:rRNA from 1 species